rnacentral:lncRNA from 1 species
AUGAAAGACCAGAAGAACACUGUGGGGCACAGUGAAGCUGUUGGUAAUAGGCACUCAUGUCCUCUGGAGACUGUGGUUCAGCUCUCCAGUCAAAAUCUUGGUAAGCCUCCUAUGCAAGAGCAGCACAAAAAGGAACCAUACUGGGAUAAAAGGUCUGGGACCCAUUAAUGUUCAGGUUUAAGCAGAUAUGUGAUUUAAGAAAGAUUGUACUUCGCAGUUUGUUUUUACUGAUUUGGAAUAAGAAAAGGUUGAGGCCAGUGAAACCUUAGGAAGCCAAGUGAUUAUUUUAACCUUCCAUCUUGUUAGGAAGUAAUACUUUGAAUUAAAAAAAAAAAUCAUACUUGAUGUUUAUCACUUAUGACUAUGAGCCAUAGCAAUUUUACAGGUAUGAUAGAGGUAAGUAGUUUAUAUAAUGUUACUUAGUUUUUUACAGUCUCAGUUAUGAACUACUACUUACAGAGCCCUUAAAAUUAAAACAGGUUUUUGCAGAAAAAAAUUUUGUCACAAAAUUUCUGCCUUCUAGAUCACACAAAUUAAGCAUCCCAAAAUUCAAGUUAACUCUUUGUGUGUAUAUAUUUCAAAUUCAUUAGAUAUACUUGAAAAUGAAAAUGUUUUUUUGGUUAAUGUUUUAGUUGGCAUGUGUUUUUCCAGUCUUUAUUUGGAAAGUAAUUUUAGAUGGAUCUUUAGUAUUAGGUGAUGCUUUAAAUAACAAGAGACAAUUUUCCUUUUUCAGAAUGUUCCAAAAUUUUUGUUUCUUUUAAUGUUCAUUUUUCUUUCAAGUCAAGUAAAGCAGGUAGAUGCUUAGCAACUCUGAAAUUCAGACUAUAUAUCUGGGUAUCUAGCUUUGGUUAAAACAUUGUGGAUCAGUUUAUAGUACUGGAACUGAAGUGAAACCAAGUAAUUACUGUUUUCAAGAUGAGUUCUAAUUAGCUACCUUAUACUCUGUCCUUCGCCUUCUUAUCUUAAGGUUGACUCCAGAAUUUUGUGUUUCUCAUUUGCAGUUUCAAGUUUAGGACAGUGAUUGUUUUCAGAAUCUUUAAAAACUCUAUCAUUUCUUUUCAAGUGCAGGAAAAAAAACCCAAAACAACCCCCCAAUAAACCACCCUACUUAAAGAAAAAGAAG